UUCAAGCACUGCUUAUAUACGGCUUUAUUUAUUCUGCUAUAAGGUACAGAACUGUAGGCAUUUUUUUUUUUUUACCGUUUUGUAAUACAUUGGCCAUUUUUAAAAAGGAGAAACGCGUAUUUCUCCUGCAUUUUUGCCUUUGGGUUAUUCUGAUAAGAGGAACAGCAUAGCUUCUAAUGAAAACUGCUGACUUCCAAGCAAGCUUGUGUGCUUUCUGUAAGCCACAGGUGCUGAGAGGUGGAAGACCAGGCUACCCUGUGUUGCCCAGACACAUGAGUUGGACUACUAUUGUUCUCCAGGAGCAGACUGAAGUUUAGAAAGGCACAAUAUCCGAGGCAAAAUCCAAGAAUGACCCUCAGACGUACCAUUUUGAGAGAAUCACAACCGAGCUGAAUCCCUGCCCGGCGAUUGACACAGCCAUCAUUGCACUCAUCGUCUCAGCACUUGAAGAAGAUUAUAUCAUGCUUCAGUUGCACCAAGGCAAGCUGAAACCGCUGAAGCUGAAGAAGCAGGGAGUCUACCUGUCUUGAACGAAACUAUGCUUCAGCGUCAGUCCCGAAUCAACGUGGACGGUUUCUGAAAAUAGAACAGCCUUUAUUUAACUUCCAAAUGGCUUAAACAUAUCGAAGAAUGUAACGUGAGAAAUGUUCUUGUGUUUUUCCUUCCCUGGACUUUGGGAAGAGAUGGAUUCUUGCAUUGUGUUGCUUG